ensembl:lncRNA
ACUAUUUGAGGCCUGUGAGAUUAUGACUUUAGUUAUGAGAUUGUAUGUUUUUAUCUGUGAGUAUGACUUAAAAUUUACUUGACUUUUUUGCUUUUCUUACAUGUGCAUUCUGUGGAUAUUGUGAAUGUGGAUCACUGUGAACAGGCUUACUGAGUGAGAAACUACAUGACUCCGAGAUGGAUAUGUGGGAUUUUGAUUAUAUGAAUAUAGAACCCUGUGAUAUUAUGACUGUUUAUGUUUGUGAGUGACUAGGCCGCCUUACUCUUCUCAACAAUGAAAGAGAAAUGUUGCACCUUUUUGCGGCAGUAACUUUAAGAUUUGGGUAAAAGGAUUUGCUAUUUAUUUGGCAAAUCAUUUGGAUAUUUUAUGUUCAGUAAGACAGAUUUUUUAAGAAGAAUCCAAAUCAACAUAUCUUUUCAAAUAAGACAGAAUUCAGAGUCAUAUGCUGUAUAUGCAAAUGGUUGCCACUUUUGUGUCCAUGUUAGGCUCCCAGAGGUAAGCUUUCAUUCUUCUGUGCUGUGAAGGAAUUUUUAGUGGAUAAGUUUGGAAAGCCCUGGACUAAAAACCGAAUUAUUUACACUUGAAGAGUCAGAGAAGAAGGACCAGGGAGUCAUGACCUGAAUUCUACGUCAAGCAACAUUGUUACUUCGUUUUCUGAAGAGAAAACUGUGACUCAGAGAAGACACACUUAAGACCAUUCAAUUUGUCCACCAGAGAGCUACUUGCCAAACUUCAAAUUAUAGGGAACAAUGAGAAAAAGAAAACGCAAGCCAAGUUCUACAAGCGCCCCAAGACUCCACCUGCUGAUUCAAAAAUAAAAUUGCAGACAGGCGGGAAGCUCAGCCCUACAGAGGAUUCUGGGACGUGUAGUCUCGACGCUUCCUGUGAUUGGGGCACUUCCGCUCCAGGAAAGCGCGGAUGUGUUAAUCGAGCCGCUGGGGAAAUAGAAGAGUACAAUCCAGUGCUGUGCGUGUUUGGAGGCAUUUCGGAUACCGGAGGGCGAGAAUACGAAGCCGCCCCUUUCGUGGAUUCUGGGAAAUUGGAUUCAGGCCGUCGAUGUUGGAGUCGGCACUUUCGCCACGGGGGGCGGGGCAGCGGCUCUUGUUCCUCUCGGGGAUGCUGGGAAAUGUAG